GCGGUCGUAGCUCAGCUUGGAUAGAGCACCAGCCUUCUAAGCUGGGGGUCGUGGGUUCAAAUCCCAUCGACCGCG
rnacentral:tRNA from 1 species